UUAGAGUUUGAUCCUGGCUCAGGAUGAACGCUGGCGGCGUGCCUAAUACAUGCAAGUCGAGCGAACUGAUUAGAAGCUUGCUUCUAUGACGUUAGCGGCGGACGGGUGAGUAACACGUGGGCAACCUGCCUGUAAGACUGGGAUAACUUCGGGAAACCGAAGCUAAUACCGGAUAGGAUCUUCUCCUUCAUGGGAGAUGAUUGAAAGAUGGUUUCGGCUAUCACUUACAGAUGGGCCCGCGGUGCAUUAGCUAGUUGGUGAGGUAACGGCUCACCAAGGCAACGAUGCAUAGCCGACCUGAGAGGGUGAUCGGCCACACUGGGACUGAGACACGGCCCAGACUCCUACGGGAGGCAGCAGUAGGGAAUCUUCCGCAAUGGACGAAAGUCUGACGGAGCAACGCCGCGUGAGUGAUGAAGGCUUUCGGGUCGUAAAACUCUGUUGUUAGGGAAGAACAAGUACAAGAGUAACUGCUUGUACCUUGACGGUACCUAACCAGAAAGCCACGGCUAACUACGUGCCAGCAGCCGCGGUAAUACGUAGGUGGCAAGCGUUAUCCGGAAUUAUUGGGCGUAAAGCGCGCGCAGGCGGUUUCUUAAGUCUGAUGUGAAAGCCCACGGCUCAACCGUGGAGGGUCAUUGGAAACUGGGGAACUUGAGUGCAGAAGAGAAAAGCGGAAUUCCACGUGUAGCGGUGAAAUGCGUAGAGAUGUGGAGGAACACCAGUGGCGAAGGCGGCUUUUUGGUCUGUAACUGACGCUGAGGCGCGAAAGCGUGGGAGCAA
rnacentral:rRNA from 1 species